CCCCGGCGUUCAACUGCCCAGCCAUUGUAGACCAAUAACAUACCGAACAAUCUGUGAUUCUGACAGCACCGCCACUUGGAAUAUCUUUGUUAGAAGGCUGGCUUGCUUAGCGUGCUAGAGGCUAUCUGCGGUCCGUACUGCCCACGAAUUGCGCACUCUUGUUGGCGGCGGUACGGCUUCGGGCUAACAGUUGGCAUACUGCGACCCACGCUGCAUUAUCCGCGCCAGCGUAGACGAGAAGUCAGGGUUAGUUAGUCUCGCUGCUGAGGCUGCCUGAAAAAGGUUAGUCCUGUCAGAUGGCAGCUGUCCAUGCUGAGAAAAGAGGACAAGGAAAGCUUGCCUCCAACGCGCUGCAUCCCACAAAGUACAACAAUGAGAGAUAACCGUGGUGAUGUACUCUCAAGAUGCUACUGACGAAGAAAGCAGUUGCCCGUGUGAUCCUGCGACAGCGCCGUGCCUGCCGCGUAGUGAAUGCUCGUUAAUUUGACGGGAAUAGGAAACCACUCCAACGACGUACGAUGUCACGAACUAUACGACGCAUUAAUUACACUGCGUACGUUAUCCACACCCCCUUUUCUUGUGUGUGAGCGGUUGGCCAAAAUGCCAUGUGGCCAUGUGGAGCGCCUUCGUGAUUCAAGGUAGAGGACACAAUGACGUUCGUGCUUGUCAAAAUCAACUGUACAGUGAGCUGGGGUGCAAGGUUCAAAUCGCUAGUUGAAUAUAUCACAGAGUUUCAGAUAAGUAUCGAACCCGAGACCCCACGGUUAAGGAUCCGAUGUCAUAGCGACCCUGAACAGCCCAUCUUAUCAACGUUCGUAAACUGUAACCAUCCGUCUCCUCGCCAGCAUUUGCCGUCGCCGUAAGAAAAAUCUCGUCAUCAGUUGUGUCCAGUACUUUUCUGGUGUGGUUCGCGCUUCAACCAUAUGAUCCAUUCAGCAAUUCGGAUGAUGUUGUAGGCUUAAGUGGGCAUCAAAAACAACGCACCUUUAAAGCUAAGUAUAUCUUUAAAAUUUGUUUUGAUGCGACUUAAAGUAAUUUUUUAUUUUAUUUUAGCAGUAUUUUGAGAAUGGAUUACUGACGAUUAUUGUUUUGGAUAACAGCCUGAGUGAGCCGUUUGAACCUUUGUCGUCAACGCGAUCGCUGUGUGGAAAUACAUAUAGAAAAAGCUGUGUCGCAAAAGGCUCAAAUGCUAAAAAAAAAAAAAAAAAAAAAACUAACAAAACGACACAUUAAUAAGGCAAAGCUAGAUGUAGGUACCAGAAUUAAGAGAGACGGUUUAAGUGAUCGAAGGAAUGGUAGGCAUAAUCGAUACUUUGCAAAAGUGUCUUCAUCUACAUCUAGAUAGUGGCAGUCCUGCAUUAGUGUAAAGGAAGUUACUUAGUCUUAUUUUACAUAUCAAUAUUGGUUCCAAGUAGUGGUAUUUAUAUUCGCAUAGAACUUGUGUUCUAACGUAAAAUAAAAAACUAUUGAUAACGUCGAGGUUGUGUCUGAUAAGGCAAAAGAUAGAUAAUCAUGUAUACAAAUAAAAGCAAGUUAUGUCUAAGUUUUAAGGAAUAUAUCAGCUCUAGCUGUACAUAUAUUACGACUAUAAGCCAAUGGAAGAUGUCACAUAACGGUCCAUUUCUAAGAACUACCUUUUGCUAGCAUAUAUCAUUGUUGCCGAGGGCGCCUUAUGGCCAACUGCAUGUUCAAUAGUUGAACACUUACAAAUUAUUGAUCAUGCAAUAAUAGCUGCGUUGGUCUUUGUACAGAUAUGUUGAGAUAAAUAGAUCUAGAUAACGUACCAGUAUUGUCAGCCUGACUGGUACAUAUACCCUAUCGUAGUAUCUGUGAGUUUGCAGAAACGGUUUCUUACGACCAACGCAUAGGUAACCGACUCACUUCUUCUGAUACAAACACGAAGAUAUAUCAGUUAGAUGCGCGCCGUUAUCUGGAGGCAUGAAGUACAAGUGUGACUAAGGCUUCAGCAAGUAUAGAGAUACAUUUCAAGUGGCACGAAGUAACCUAAUGUGAAACAGGGGCACUGCGCUUUCGCGGAGAUGUAGACACAUUCAUUUUACUGAAUCGUCCACGAAUUCCACAAGCAUCGUCCGUGAAGCACCGGCCUCGUUCAUAUGAUUCGACCGAGUCAUCCAAUCACGAUCAGCGCCUACAAAGGACUUUUUUUUUUCGCAUUGUUAUGCCUGCUCCUGCUACAAUGACCGUCAGGGCUUAUUUCUGCCAUUUUGCUAUGGUAUAUUUAUCGUUGCAUUGCUACUAAUACAUGUGGCAGUAUUCGAAAUAGGGGAGCUCAAUUGUAACGCAGCCCAUUGUUGGUGCUCACACGUUUAAAUGAUGACAAGUUGAAUCAAGGACAAAGUAUAAUGAAGCGAGGAAGAGAAGCGCAUGGGUGGGAAAAGAAUAUUAUGAGAAAGACGGGAUGGGGAUAAGAAAGUCUGAGACCUAACUAAUCCAACCGAGCUAUGUUAUUCUGUAGGUUAGGGAGAAGCCAAUUCUGAUCUAAGUAGACAUUUAGUAGACAUUACCACAGCAGCAGCACAAGCACCAGAAUCUAGGCGGCAUCUAAGGAGAACUAAGUGCCCUGCUUGUUUGAGCCAUUCGCUCUUCGUCCUCUGUUUCGAAUAAGUGAACCCGGAGUACUGCGCCAGCGCCACUGCCGUUACAGCCACUCCAUGGCUGAAUGAGGUCUUCUUCGGGUGCCACCUGCGGGCAUCCAAUAGACUACGUUGCUGCCGUUGCCCUUGCGCCAGCUGAUUACGACGAAAGGCACGUGCUUAAUUUCGUGCGCGCCUUUAUACGUCAAACCGAUAGAUAGAAAACCAACAGCAGGCCAGCAAGAACUUAUGGAAGAACCUAAAGGAGUAGCUAUCGAAUAAACGGAAAGAAAAGGGGUGAGCCGCAGACAGAGUAACCAGCCCAGUUAUCUGUUCUUUAUUUUGUGCGUCCGUUUAGCCGCUAUAGCUCUUUCUUCUCCAUAGCUCCGUAGAUUUAACAACUCAAGGAAAAAACGAGCUAAGGAUCAGAACAUACAACGAAAGACAUGUACGGAUAUCUCUAAGUAAACAACUGGGAAACGCAACCAUUCAAAGGGUUGAGCACACAAGGUAGCUAAAGAAAAGUGACGGGUGGGAGGAAACAAGUAAUAUCAAUAAGAAAAACGCAUUGUCGUCAUUCACAAGUAAGCAAUUCGCGGUUGCGGAUACGUUGACGCGGUCGUCUCCGUGAUAGAAAAACAAUGGCGUGGCGUCCUUAAUUAUUCCGUGUAUUUUCUCCAACUAAAAACAGGUCUUCCCUGACUGAGCUAACCAAUGAAACUGUAAAAAGCGUAAAUGAUUUUCUUACCCGUCUUAAUCUCUUUUCUUCUGUGCUGCUAACUUUCCGUUCUUUCUUGCUCUCUUUGUGUAUUUAUCUUUCCUGCAUUGCUCUCCACUGCACGGCCGCAUUAGAGGAGGCCCACCGCUAGAUCGACUGACUAAAAAAGGAAAACGAUGUGAACAAGACAAGGGUGGCCUAAAGGCUGAGUACUGCGGUCAUCUUUGCGGCUACGGUCUUCGAGGCUAACCAGGCAACGGACGUGGCCGGUCUUUGCCUUUGCAGUAGGAAUGUCUGUAUUAUGCCACCUCUGUUGAUAAAUGCUUGAGAAUCUCCGAGAGAGACAAGCAACAUAGAAAGAGAAAAAGCGUGUCGUAUUUGGGUGUUCUACUCUGUCCAAGUAUUUUUGGGAAGACAAAAUAGGUCUGAGACAGACAAGUUCUAGCUUCUGUAGGUGAAAAAUACGUGGCGAUUCUCUACACACACAUACACAAACACACAUAAAUAUAGACAAAUGCGAAAGUACCAGAAACAAAGAAGGGGAUCCCGCCCGACCUGGUUAGUUCUCCUUACCUUAUAAAAGAAGAUAGCCGGUGUACAGAGCCCCGAAAGUUAAAAUCUUGAACAUACAAGUCGAAUCUACUGUUUGUCCUAUAUAACCUACUAGUCGACAAAACUAACACACAACUUUUGACCGCAUCCUAUACGUUGGUUAUUCGGCCAAUACCACGACAACUGGUCGCACAUGUACUGUUUACGUAGCGGCCAGCUCUAUCCCACGUUGCUCUUACAGGAGGCGUGUGAAGCAUUAGCGUUAACUCGUUGUUGGUAGACGGCAGCCAUUGAGGAGCGACAUUGGUGACUGCUUCUGCCGGACCCCCUAAUCUUAGCUCUUGUCUUUCUUUUCGUCGCGCAUCCCCCUACGGCUUCUCUACAGCCAACUCGUCGUCCUUGUCACUAUUCCAUCGACUUUCCUGCUCGACCUUGUUGAUCUCUUUAGUCUUCGCCGGUGCAGGGGCGACUGUUUCUCUCACUGUCCCUGCACUCUUAUACACAGGCAAGCGUCCGUCGCAGGCGUUCGGUUGAGGGGCGUGCAACGAAAAAUCGGACCAUUAUGAUCCACAAGGUAGUAAGCAGCCGUGCAGCUGUUUGUUGCUGGUCCACAACAAGGACAUUUCUGGAUAGCGGAAAAUAGGCGAGAAAGCGGGGAGAUGAAAGCAGGCUCAAAGAGAAAAGUGACAACGUCGAAUAAAGGCCGAUUCAAGUCAUUGCCUGAGUCGUGGACGGUCGCGAAGACAAGGAACAGAACGAACAAACCUAGAUACUAACAACGACGGCCAAUAACGCCGUUGUGGUCUCACUACAGACUGCUGCAUUGUCCACUGGUUAUUGGUUGUAUGUCUACAGCUAUUCGUGACGCAGAAAGGAGACAAAAAGGGAAGUGUAAAAAACACCACUACGUCAAGAGACGGCUAAGGAGCUAGCGACCGGAUGGAACUGACUUCGGCGAUGGCAGCAGCAACAGCAGCUGAAUUAUAGCCAACGAACGAAAACAACGCUUGUGAGGGGAGCCAGUUACCGGAAGAGGCCCUGCCAUCGCCAACAGGCCCAGCAACGGAAGAAGAAAACUCAAUUAUGUUCUUUGCUCGCCUCGACCAGCUUCACUGAUGGUCCAUUUUCUUCAUUGACUUCUAAGCAGCAGAUAGGGCCGGGCUGGGUCGGUGAUAAAGGCCACGAGUGAAGGAAGCGUUUGCGUCAUGCUCUGAUAGAACGAUGCUGCAGCAGCGAAACAGAAAAUACAGAAAAAACCUGACACAAUUGACUUGUCCAUAGUGAGUGUAGCUUUUAUAAUUACCAACCUGUCAAGUCUAUUCCAGUGAAGCUGAGCUCUUUUCUAGGAUGAGGCGCAUAGGACACUCGUGCUUACUGUCAAUAAUCAAGUUAAACUAUUAAGUCUAAGGAUUAACACUUUGGCUUGAUGUUUAUCCUUGAAUAUUAUCGUAAUGCUUUGUAUGAAUUUAUAAUCUUGAACCAGAAUUGACGUCAUUCGAGAGACCUACCGUGAGAAUGGUUUGUUUUUUAAUUUUUUAUGUAGAAAAGCAGCGUAUGAAAGCGCAAUUUCAUUCAACGUUGGAUAGGAUACUACGAUGAAGAGAAGCCUGUACGUACAUUGUUAUGGUGCUAAUAAUGAAUAUGCUUGCCUUCUCAAUUAUGUGUUCGUCUAUUGAUGGCCUAAUGAAAGCCGCAAAGUAUCUAACAGGUCGCCCUCACCGCUUCGGCAGGCGCGGGACUGUGCUUAGUAUUAUAUUAUUCUAUCUAUAUUAUUAUAGUAUGCUUAGUAUACUAGAUUACUGAGAAUUGAGCCAGAGUAAAAAUUAAGACAGCUUACAUUUUGGGUUAAUUCAGGUUUUUUGUCGAAUUCAUCUCCGAACCGACUGAAAGACCUCUUCCAGCGAUUUCUGAAGCCAAAUGCUCUGUAUCAUAAACGAGACGAAAAUUAGUGGCUUUUAUCACUUCGUCGCUUACUCUAGUCCCACGUAUUCGUGAAUAUAUUAAUCUCUACAAUAUAAUUUUACAAAACCUCACAAUAUUUUCAAUUAGGUGCCUGUAAAAGAGUUGAAAAAACUAUUCAGAAUAGAAAAGGAAACGGUCGUAUACAGAAACCUAAGGCAAAACAUACCUAUGCAGGAGUUGACUGACUGAUGUAUUAUUGAUUGACGAUACGCUGCGAAAAGAGCAGAAUAAACCCGACUCGGAAGAUCUGCAAAACGUUUUGGCAGUCACAAUGUUUCGGGCAAUGGCAAUAUAAUACUGGAAACAGGAAAGCUCAUUUCAGAGAUUUUCCGGACGUCCUAAAGAUGGCACCAGCGAGCAGCAGCAAACGGCACGAUAUCUAUCACAAUUUCCGCCGCACGUGGAACACCUGCGCAUACUGCCAGUUUCGGUUUCCUACAAAGUCUCUGGUGGAAACCAUGCACGGCAAAUCGAAUGCCGAUAUGCCUGUUUGGUAGGUUCGUCCCUUCUCACUCAUUGCUCCUAGCGGCAGAAAGGUCCCUGUCAAUCUCCUCAAAUGUUAGCUUCUAGUUCCUAUCGCCGCUCUUGAAGUCUUUCUUUGUUAGAAGCUCAAAACGACAACGUACAUAUUUGGACAGCAGAGAAAAAUCUGCCACGAGAUUUCGGGUUACUGUGUGUAGUUUCAGUACUUUUUUUUGAGGCUAACAAUACGAUUCGAUUGUUUGAGGUUUUUCUUUAUAAAACCUUCUUAAAUGCCGCAUAUUAUAUGCGUUGCGAUCGGGGCUAGCUUAAGGCUGAACAAGCUGAGAACAGCCGCGAGAGACAAGAAGUGAGGCUAUUAUAUCGCCUAUGCGAUCAAGGCUGUCUUUCUGCAUUUUUCGGUGUCGUAAGCAGUAAAAUUUUUAUCGUUUACGGAAGAGGGCAACCUCAAAUACAAAAAUCGGUUUACAUAGACUUGAGGCGACCUGACAAAACUUAAAGUGUCAAUGGCCGCUGUUCUGUCUCUGUUUUUAAACUUCAUAGCCUCCGUCUUGGUCAGGUCUAAAUAUGAGACUGUCAUGGAAGUAGAGCCGGGCUACAUUUGAUUUCAACUGGAACCGGUUCGACCCGUAUAUCACUAAAUCGUUGCAAAAAAGAAGACGUUGACUAUUCCUCGGCCUUCUUAUUUGAUCAAAGAGGCCCUCCAAUAAGGUGGAGAAUGGAAGUGGGCUUACGUUGUCUGCUUGAGCUAAGUCCAUGUAGAAAAAAAGACGGGAGUUGGGCCGGCCACUCCGCCGUCACUGUCUACCACGGUCAGCAUGAGCACAACUUUGUCGUUGGGCACCAACUCGAAGGCUGUCCUGAAGUCGACGAAGACUGCGUAUAGCGGCGUAGCCACCGCUCUCUUGACGUCAACUGUCAUGAUCUUAAACGUUGUUCUCACCGGGAUACAUGUGGCUCUGUUGGUAUAAGCUUUCUGAGGAGUCGCUCGGUCUUUUAAUUAGCUAGCCGGAAAGAAGCUUAUAACAAACUCUUUUCCUUGUCAUUCCCUGCCAUGAUGAUGGCGCAGUUGAGUCGCCCUUUCCUUUAGGGAACGCCAACAGAACAGCCCCUGCCAACUGAGCUGAAAUUGUUCCAGCACGUAAAAAUAUAUAAAAUAAAUUUGACUAUUACCGAAUUACAAGAUAAGAAAGACUCUGAAAAUAUUAUUACGGCAGCUUGAUAGAUUACAAUUCUGUGAAAUUAUGUCAAAAAAACAGCAAAAUAAAAGACACCUUCUUAGCAUCUUGUCGGACAACAGCAAAUAUUUGUGCAACAAACUGAACUAAGGUCGCGUUGUUACGCUGCACGACUCUGGCAGGCUCCGUAUCUUUCUGCAUCGUUUGUUGUCUAACAAAAAAUGAAUAAGGUUUACUUAUGCUUCUUCAAGUCACCAUAUUUUUCAUCUGCGCCGGUUUGACUUCAUUGUAUUCCCAAAAAUUAAAAAAUAACCUGUUGUACACAACGAAGUAAUUGGCUUCUGUUACUUCGCUACGAUAGGUCGUGCUGUAGGUUCUUUAAAAUAGAAGCAUCUGUGAUAAAAGGCUAAGGGUAUAGAAUCAUUUGUUGCAAACCCCAUGUGAAUUCUAUGCUACACAGAGCGCCUAUUGAUGGUAUUCCGUGGUAGCCACACUUUCUUUUAUACGAUUAUUUGUCACAGAGGAGUGUUUUUCGUCAACGCCUUUCUCCAUUGCGUUGAUGUCCUGGUGGUAGAAUUUGAUCGAUGAUUGGUACUACGUGAUGAGUGUCGUCAAACAUCCCAUUGCUUGUAUGGCCAUACCCCCUGCUUUUCGUCGAUAGUAGCACCAAUCGUAGUAAAAGCAAGAAGGGCUUUAUCAAAGGGGUUUAAUCAAGGCAGCCGUGGGGUGUCUGUUUUAUGUUAACUGAGUUGCGUUCGGAGGAGGUAUUUCAAACAAUGGGCAAAAAUUAAAAAAAUUACGUGGGCUGAGUAAACGGCACGAACGAGCCGAUUUCAUCGCGUGGAAAUUGACAGUGGCGGCCUUGAAGCACGAUAAUUAUUCAACGUCGAACUGAAGCUCGGUCAUUAUAAUAUUAAGUACAUUGUAUAUGUCGAUAGAGAAACAGAAAGCAAGGGA